AAUGUACACCUGAAAGUUCAAUAACUUAUGACAAUGAAUGCUAGGGAUAUAUAGCAGGUUCCCUGGGAGUUGAGUGGCCAAGAUGAGGGGGAGGUGCAGUGAGUGGCCUUAUCUGUCUUCUCAGUGACUUCUUCCUCCCAUUCAGAAGCAGUUGCACCUCAAUGAAAAGGACUUUGAGUUUGUGAGCUGGAAACCUGAUUUUGGCCCCAGUUCUGCAAUUAAUUUCUUGAAGAAGACAGCAAGGCUUAUCACUGGAGCCAGAAAAUCAGCACAGAGAUGGGUCUGAACAAACAUACUUCACUUAAGUGGCCCUUAUCUUCCAUUUGUUCCCCCAAUAUUUACCUUCCCACAACUUACCACCCUGAAAACCCAAACCCCCUUUCCUUUGUCUUGUCUACAAUUUACUGCCCUUUGUUAAAAAUGUUAUAUAGCCUCCAGGUGUAACUAAUUCUUGUGUCUUCACUCUUUUCUAUAAGGACCUCCACGUGCACAGAAAUUAAAAUAUUAGCAUCAAAUAAAGUUUGGAUGCUUUCUC